rnacentral:rRNA from 1 species
GUCCACGCCGUAAACGAUGGAUACUAGCUGUUGGGCGCAAGUUCAGUGGCUAAGCGAAAGUGAUAAGUAUCCCACCUGGGGAGUACGUUCGCAAGAAUGAAACUCAAAGGAAUUGACGGGGGCCCGCACAAGCGGUGGAGCAUGUGGUUUAAUUCGAUGCAACGCGAAGAACCUUACCUGGUCUUGACAUAGUAAGAACUUUUCCAGAGAUGGAUUGGUGCCUUCGGGAACUUACAUACAGGUGCUGCAUGGCUGUCGU